UGCAAAGCUAUCGUUUAUUAGAGCCACAACAUCAAAGGCGCGAUGUCAUCACAGCCAAAGGCUGCUCACGGCAAGGGGUCUGGGGAAAUCAAAUCUCAGCGCCUGUUGCCUUGCUGUUAGGUUAGCAGCUGUGGCAGGAAGUGCUCUGUCUCAAAUCCGGGACCGUGGAUGUGCUCGGAGCACUUCUGAGCCCCCGCAGGAGCCUCCGCCUGGGUUUCGCAUACCUGCUAUAGGGCAGGCAGAGCCUCAUACACAACCACCCCCGAUGGCAGAGCCUCCGGGGCUCAGCCAGUCCAGGUGCAAACCAUCAAUCUCAUUGCUACCAAAGCACGAAGCGGGCAGGCUGGUGCAAACCACCCCGGCCCCUCCGGGCGUUGCUAACCAAGCAACACUCCUAGUGGGUGUGCUUCACCGCCUUGACAGGGUCAGUUCUGAGCAGUUGCUGAUUUCACAGGCACAGAUCUGGCAAAUCCCAGAGCUGCUGGAAUUAAGCCCUCACAGCCCAGGGGCUGGAGGAGACCGCACAGGUGACCCUUUUCAUUAGGUGUCACGUUCCCCGUUCCCCCUGCCACAGUUCAGUUUGUAUGAAAUUCACGUGGACUCAAGGACAAAAAUCGGAGGCCGUUUGAGAGAUCAGGUCUACCCUCAUCAAGAGAACACGGCCCAGGUGGAGUGUACUUCCUGAAGAAUGAAACAUGUGGAACAGUCUUGAACAUAACUCACAGCCUGGAGCAAGCCCCACUGAGAUCAGCAGAGCCUCCCCAGACUUAGGCUAGAAACAGGUGCUUAUUUCCAUGUGUCACUGAGCUUUGGGGCGGUUUAUUGCGCGGCGUUAUUAUGACAAUAAUUGAUAAAAGGCAUCACCAAGUAAAGUUGAGAAUCGUGAUGAUUAUACUAAGACAGACAUAACUUAGUGACUGGAGGAUAUUUUUUCUUGACUAGAACUGCCUAGAUUUCAUUCCAGGCUGGGGGAAGAACAUGCCUGACCUAAUAAACUUAAAUGAACAUUAAUAGACAACAG